UACGUAGGGUGCGAGCGUUAAUCGGAAUUACUGGGCGUAAAGCGUGCGCAGGCGGUUGUGCAAGACCGAUGUGAAGUCCCCGGGCUUAACCUGGGAAUGGCAUUGGUGACUGCACGGCUAGAGUGUGUCAGAGGGGGGUAGAAUUCCACGUGUAGCAGUGAAAUGCGUAGAGAUGUGGAGGAAUACCGAUGGCGAAGGCAGCCCCCUGGGAUAACACUGACGCUCAUGCACGAAAGCGUGGGGAGCAAACAGG
rnacentral:rRNA from 1 species